GAUGAACGCUGGCGGCGUGCCUAAUACAUGCAAGUCGAGCGAACAGACGAGGAGCUUGCUCCUCUGACGUUAGCGGCGGACGGGUGAGUAACACGUGGAUAACCUACCUAUAAGACUGGGAUAACUUCGGGAAACCGGAGCUAAUACCGGAUAAUAUAUUGAACCGCAUGGUUCAAUAGUGAAAGACGGUUUUGCUGUCACUUAUAGAUGGAUCCGCGCCGCAUUAGCUAGUUGGUAAGGUAACGGCUUACCAAGGCAACGAUGCGUAGCCGACCUGAGAGGGUGAUCCGCCAAACUGGAACUUGGGAAAGGGCCAGACUCCUAAGGGAGGGCGCAGUGGGGAAUCUUCCGGAAUUGGCGAAAGCCUGACGGAGCAAAGGCGCGUGAGGGAUGAAGGUCUUCGGAUCGUAAAACUCUGUUAUUAGGGAAGAACAAAUGUGUAAGUAACUAUGCACGUCUUGACGGUACCUAAUCAGAAAGCCACGGCUAACUACGUG
rnacentral:rRNA from 1 species